AGUUUUAUUAUUAACAAAUAAAAGAAAAAGAGAAAGAAAAAGCUAUCAUUUUUCUCUUCCCCUUCACCGAAAUAUGCAGCAAAGAAAGGGUUUUGAAGCUGGAAAAUUUCAGCAACAUAUUUCCCUUGCUUAUGAUGAAAAUUGAGAUUUGGACCUAGAACGGAAAGAAAUCGAUUUAUGGACGAGUAUGUCUUUUCACCUUUGUGGUAUCGAGAGUUUCCAGGUUAGCUCGGGUUGGAGGCCGUCAGAGAUAUUAUCACCCUAUCGAGUUAACGUUAUCGGAGUAAGUAAACUCAAGUGAUUCGAGUCUAUGGCAUGUAUAGGGUUUUAAUGUGAGUAUGUAAUACUAUGAUUUAGCCAAAGGCAUUGGCUUGUUAUUAAGGUAGUAUUAGUUAUGUAAAUUGGCCUAUGUCGGCUAAUAUCGUUAUGGGCCCAUAUGAUUAUUCUUAUGCAUUUAUGUUAUUAUUUCUUGUGAUGUGGCUUACAACAUGUAUGCCUAGAGAUUGAAUUGAGAUUCAUUGAUGAUCUAGUAACUAAUGCAGGAUUAAGUGAUUGGUAAAUAGUUAAUAA